rnacentral:rRNA from 1 species
GGCGAACGCUGGCGGCGUGCUUAACACAUGCAAGUCGAACGGAAAGGCCCUGCUUUUGUGGGGUGCUCGAGUGGCGAACGGGUGAGUAACACGUGAGUAACCUGCCCUUGACUUUGGGAUAACUUCAGGAAACUGGGGCUAAUACCGGAUAGGAGCUCCUGCUGCAUGGUGGGGGUUGGAAAGUUUCGGCGGUUGGGGAUGGACUCGCGGCUUAUCAGCUUGUUGGUGGGGUAGUGGCUUACCAAGGCUUUGACGGGUAGCCGGCCUGAGAGGGUGACCGGCCACAUUGGGACUGAGAUACGGCCCAGACUCCUACGGGAGGCAGCAGUGGGGAAUAUUGCACAAUGGGCGGAAGCCUGAUGCAGCAACGCCGCGUGCGGGAUGAUGGCCUUCGGGUUGUAAACCGCUUUCGCCUGUGACGAAGCGUGAGUGACGGUAAUGGGUAAAGAAGCACCGGCUAACUACGUG